rnacentral:rRNA from 1 species
UACGUAGGGACCAAGCGUUGUUCGGAUUUACUGGGCGUAAAGGGCGCGUAGGCGGCACGGCAAGUCGGGAGUGAAAGGCCUGGGCUCAACCGAGGAACUGCUUUCGAGACUGCCGAGCUAGAGUGCGGAAGGGGCAACUGGAAUUCCCAGUGUAGCGGUGAAAUGCGUAGAUAUUGGGAAGAACACCGGAGGCGAAGGCGGGUUGCUGGGCCGACACUGACGCUGAGGCGCGAAAGCCAGGGGAGCAAACGGG